rnacentral:rRNA from 1 species
UACGGGGGGGGCAAGCGUUUGUUCGGAAUUACUGGGCGUAAAGGGCGUGCAGGCGGUUUGUUAAGUGCAGGGUGAAAGCUCCCGGCUCAACUGGGAGAGGUCCUUGCAUACUGGCGAACUCGAGGGAGGCAGAGGAAAGUGGAAUUCCCGGUGUAGUGGUGAUAUGCGUAGAUAUCGGGAGGAACACCUGUGGCGAAGGCGGCUUUCUGGGCCUUACCUGACGCUGAGACGCGAAAGCGUGGGGAGCAAACAGG